rnacentral:lncRNA from 1 species
UUUAAUUAGAAAGGGUAGGCAACCUACAUGACUUGAAUUUAAAUAGCUGGCAAUGGACCAACAACUCCUUCGACUGCUCCAGUUGGUUCUCCUUCUGGUUCAUCAGCUGAAUCACCUGAAGGCUCAAUUAUUCCUUCUGCUUCAGACUUUCCCUCAGGUAUACAUCACUUUGUACUUAAACUCACAAAAAAAGAUGAAGGAGAGAGAUUCUAAUAUAGACUUUGUACAUAAGUUUCAUGCACUAAACAUUUUAAAGUGAUUUAAGUCAGUUGGUUAAACAUGACGCAAUUUUCAUCUUGACGAAAAAUUAUCUACAUACUAUGAUAAAAUAUGUAUCAAAAGCACAAGGGCUAUAGCUCAGUUAGGUAGAGCACCUCGUUUACAUGAGCGCCAAUGUUUUUUUUGAGAGGAGUUCAUCUUGUAAUCAAAAGAGUUUAUCUUAUAGUAAAAAAUCGAUGUCUUAUUCUAUUUUACGGAACAAAACAAGAGAGCAAUAGCCUGACAAAGGGUUUAGCCAUAAAAUCGAAUUCAUCAUUGAUUUGAGAUAUUGAUAAGGUGAAUACUCAUUUCUCGUCAAUGUUAUGUAUGAGUUGUUGUAAAUCCAUUGAUAUCUGUUUUUUUGAUUCCAUCGGAUAAACAAACAUUUUAAAGUAAUAAUAUGAUCUUUAUUGAUUCACUUAAUUCUAAUAGUUGUCUACACAAAAUAAUCUCUCAUCAAAUGCAUGCCUGAUACUAGUCAUUGAGACGGUUAGUAUAUGAAUUGCGCGCAUAAAUAUUGCAGAAAAUGUUUUAAUUAAGUCAUUUAACUCGUUUUGGUUAAUUGCAGGUGCAGGAUCUAAAACUGUGCCAUCAAUAGACGGUGGUUCAUCUGAUGGAAACGCUAUUAAAGUCCCCUCCCACUUGGUGCUCUAUCUUCUUGCCCUUGUGUCUUGUGUCUUAACCUUCACCAAGUUCUGAUUAUUUUGAGCCAACAGAGAUUUGAGUGCUGAAUUUUUAUGUUUAGUGUUCCUUGCCAUAGAAGAUAUAUAUUUGACCUCGAAUAAAUAAAGGAAUAUUUAAUACAUGAAUUUGAUAAGAAGUACUUGUUGGUGCUGAUGGACUGCUAUUUUGUUAAUAUGAAUGGG